AUUGAACGCUGGCGUCAGGCCUAACACAUGCAAGUCGAGCGGAUGAAGGGAGCUUGCUCCUGGAUUCAGCGGCGGACGGGUGAGUAAUGCCUAGGAAUCUGCCUGGUAGUGGGGGAUAACGUCCGGAAACGGGCGCUAAUACCGCAUACGUCCUGAGGGAGAAAGUGGGGGAUCUUCGGACCUCACGCUAUCAGAUGAGCCUAGGUCGGAUUAGCUAGUUGGUGGGGUAAAGGCCUACCAAGGCGACGAUCCGUAACUGGUCUGAGAGGAUGAUCAGUCACACUGGAACUGAGACACGGUCCAGACUCCUACGGGAGGCAGCAGUGGGGAAUAUUGGACAAUGGGCGAAAGCCUGAUCCAGCCAUGCCGCGUGUGUGAAGAAGGUCUUCGGAUUGUAAAGCACUUUAAGUUGGGAGGAAGGGCAGUAAGUUAAUACCUUGCUGUUUUGACGUUACCAAAAGAAUAAGCACCGGCUAACUUCGUG
rnacentral:rRNA from 1 species